GACGAACGCUGGCGGCGUGCCUAAUACAUGCAAGUCGAGCGAAGUUUUUCUGGUGCUUGCACUAGAAAAACUUAGUGGCGAACGGGUGAGUAACACGUAAAGAACCUGCCUCAUAGACGGGGACAACUAUUGGAAACGAUAGCUAAUACCGGAUAACAGCAUAAAUCGCAUGAUAUAUGUUUAAAAGUUGGUUUCGGCUAACACUAUGAGAUGGCUUUGCGGUGCAUUAGCUAGUUGGUGGGGUAAAGGCCUACCAAGGCGACGAUGCAUAGCCGACCUGAGAGGGUGAUCGGCCACACUGGGACUGAGACACGGCCCAGACUCCUACGGGAGGCAGCAGUAGGGAAUCUUCCGCAAUGGGCGAAAGCCUGACGGAGCAACGCCGCGUGAGUGAAGAAGGAUUUCGGUUCGUAAAGCUCUGUUGUUAGGGAAGAAUGAUUGUAUAGUAACUAUAUACAGUAGAGACGGUACCUAACCAGAAAGCCACGGCUAACUACGUGCCAGCAGCCGCGGUAAUACGUAGGUGGCAAGCGUUGUCCGGAAUUAUUGGGCGUAAAGCGCGCGCAGGUGGUUUAAUAAGUCUGAUGUGAAAGCCCACGGCUCAACCGUGGAGGGUCAUUGGAAACUGUUAAACUUGAGUGCAGGAGAGAAAAGUGGAAUUCCUAGUGUAGCGGUGAAAUGCGUAGAGAUUAGGAGGAACACCAGUGGCGAAGGCGGCUUUUUGGCCUGUAACUGACACUGAGGCGCGAAAGCGUGGGGAGCAAACAGG
rnacentral:rRNA from 1 species